rnacentral:rRNA from 1 species
CCUACGGGAGGCAGCAGUGGGGAAUAUUGGACAAUGGGCGCAAGCCUGAUCCAGCAAUGCCGCGUGUGUGAAGAAGGCCUGCGGGUUGUAAAGCACUUUCGGUUGGGAAGAAGCUUUGUUGGUUAACACCCAAUUAAGUUGACACUACCUUCAGAAGAAGCACCGGCUAACUCCGUGCCAGCAGCCGCGGUAAUACGGAGGGUGCGAGCGUUAAUCGGAAUUACUGGGCGUAAAGCGCGCGUAGGCGGUUGUGUAAGUCGGAUGUGAAAGCCCUGGGCUUAACCUAGGAACUGCAUUCGAUACUGCAUAGCUAGAGUAUGGUAGAGGAAAGCGGAAUUCCCGGUGUAGCGGUGAAAUGCGUAGAUAUCGGGAGGAACAUCAGUGGCGAAGGCGACUUUCUGGACCAAUACUGACGCUGAGGUGCGAAAGCGUGGGUAGCAAACAGGAUUAGAUACCCUGGUAGUCCACGCCCUAAACGAUGUCAACUAGCCGUUAGGUUCAUUUAAGAGCUUAGUGGCGCAGCUAACGCGAUAAGUUGACCGCCUGGGGAGUACGGCCGCAAGGUUAAAACUCAAAUGAAUUGACGG